rnacentral:rRNA from 1 species
UACAGAGGGUGCAAACGUUGUUCGGAAUUACUGGGCGUAAAGCGCGUGUAGGCGGCUCGGCAAGUCGGGUGUGAAAGCCCUGGGCUUAACCUAGGAAGUGCACUCGAAACUGCCAAGCUUGAGUUCUGGAGAGGAAGGCGGAAUUCCCGGUGUAGAGGUGAAAUUCGUAGAUAUCGGGAGGAACACCAGUGGCGAAGGCGGCGACCUGGACAGAUAUUGACGCUGAGGUGCGAAAGCGUGGGGAGCAAACAGG